AGAGUAUAUGGCGGAUGCCUUGACAUAAGAAGACGAUGAAGGACGUAGCAGCCUGCGAUAAGCUGCGGUGAGGUGGCAAGCAACCUUUGACCCGCAGAUCUCCGAAUGGGGAAACCCCCUCUUUUGAAGAAAGAGGAAGCUUGACCUUUGAGGCAAGCUGGAAGACCCGGUGAACUGAAACAUCUUAGUAACCGGAGGAAAAGAAAAUAAUAAUCAUUCCCUGAGUAGUGGCGAGCGAAAGGGGAGGAGUCUAAACCGAUAUAACUGCGUAGUUGGUCUAGUUCGCUAGAUUGACUACAGAAGGUUCUGGAACCAGAUGUUUUAUCGGUGUUGCAAGACCUAGCGCCCGUUGCCAGAUCAACGAGGCGAAGUAAAAAAAGACAAUUUCUAAUUGAAGGAGCUGGAAAGCUCGGCCAGAGACGGUGAUAGCCCGGUAAGUGAAAGGAAUUGACUCUUCGUGGCUAGUGUUCUUAAGUAGGGCGGGACUCGUGAAAUCCCGUUUGAAGCCAGGUCGACUAUGACCUAAGACUAAAUACUUCUUAUGAUCGAUAGAGAACAAGUACCGUGAGGGAAAGGUGAAAAGCAUCCCGUUUAGGGAGGUGAAAUAGUACCUGAAACCAUAUAUUUACAAAGAGUCGGAGCCUCGCAAGGGGCGACGGCGUGCCUAUUGAAGAAUGAGCCAAUGAGUUUGUUCUACGUGGCUGGCAUAAUCUCCUUUGGAGAGCAUGCAGAGUGAAAGCGAGGGUUAACAGCCCGUUUGUGUAUCACUCGCGUUGUACAUGAGCAUAAAAGUUCACGUAACGCGAGUGAUACAUUUGUCGCGUGGACAAGACCCGAAGCCGGGUGAUCUAACCAUGAGCAGGUUGAACUUCAUCGAAAGAUGAAGGGAGGACCGAACCCGUUAGUUGUGCAACACUAUGGGAUGACUUGUGGUUAGCGCAGAAAUUGCAAUCGAACUCGGCAAUAGCUGGUUCUCCUCGAAAUAGCUUUAGGGCUAGCGUCGGAUGUUUAUCUCAGGGGGUAGAGCACUGGAUGAGGGCGGGUCGCAAGAUACCGUCUUCAAUCAAACUCCGAAUACUUGGGAAUAUAAUCCGGCAGUCAGACUACGAGCGCUAAGGUCCGUUAGUCAAAAGGGAAACAGCCCAGAUCGUAAUCUAAGGUCCCAAAAUUUAUGCUAAGUGUGAAAGGUGGUGUUGUGACUACGACAGUUAGGAGGUUGGCUUAGAAGCAGCCAUCCUUUAAAGAUAGCGUAAUAGCUCACUAAUCAAGUUGUUUCGCGCCGAAAAUUUAUCGGGGCUAAGCAUAGUACCGAAGAUACGAACUUUCUAAUUAAUUUUAGAAAGUGGUAGAGGAGCAUUCUCUUCAGCGUUGAAGUCGUGUUGUGAGACAUGGUGGAGCGAAGAGAAGGGAGAAUGUUGGCAUGAGUAGCAAAAAGGUGGGUGAAAACCCCGCCCAUCGAAAAUCUAAGGUUUCCUGGGCAACGAAAAUCAACCCAGGGUUAGUCGAUCCUAAGGUCUAUCCCGUGUAGUGCGGGAGCAGCCGAUGGAUGAGCUGGUUAAUAUUCCAGCACUACUGUUGUUUUCCGAAGGAGGGACGCAACUUUCAGGUCUAAGCGUGCUAUGGUAUGUACGUUUUUUGCUCCAAGAAAUGGUCUAGGCAAAUCCGGACCAAUAAUUUCAAGGGGUUGAAAAGAGAUAAAGCCGCAAGGUGGAAUCAAUUUAGGCGGAUGAGUUGACUAGAAAAACUUCUAGGGCCAAGGCAACAGUAAUCGUACCGUAAACCGACACAGGUAGAUGAGGCGAGAAGCCUAAGAUGUACGAGAGAAACUUCGUUAAGGAACUCGGCAAAACAGCGGCCGUAAUUUAGAGAUAAGGCCUGCCCCAGCAAUGGGGCCGCAGCUAAAGAGCCCAAGGGACUGUUUAUCAAAAACACAGCUCUCUGCUAACUCGCAAGAGGAUGUAUAGGGGGUGAAGCCUGGCCAGUAUUCGAACGUUAAGAGGAGGGGUCAACCGCAAGGUGAAGCCUUGAAUCCAAGCGCGAAUGAACGCCGGCGAUAACUAUAAUCGUCCUAAGGUAGCGAAAUUCCUUGUCGGGUAAGUUCCGACCUGCACGAAUGGCUUAACCACUUGGGCACUGUCUCAACGAAGUACUCGGUGAAAUUGCAAUACGAGUAAAGAUGCUCGUUAACCACAGUUGGACGAGAAGACCCCGUGAAGCUUUACUACAACUUGAUAUUGAAUUAGGGAUACGCUUGUUCAGAAUAGGUGGGAGCCUUCGGGCGCCAGUGAGAUACCACCCUUGUUUAUUUUUAAUUCUUACCCGAAAAUUUCGGGGACAGUGUCUGGUGGGUAGUUUGUCUGGGGCGGAUGCCUCCCAAAAGGUAACGGAGGCGUUUACAAAGGUCAGCUAUCCCGGAAUGGAAACCCGGGAGAUAGUGUAAAGGCAUAAGCUGGCUUUACUGCGAGACUUGACGGUCAAGCAGUCGCGAAAGCGGAACUUAGUGAUCCGACCAUUCAAUAUAGGAUGGUGGAAGCUCAUCGGAUAAAAGCUACUCCGGGGAUAACAGGCUAGUCAGGUCCAAGAGUCCACAUCGACGACCUGGUUCGGCACCUCGAUGUCGGCUCGUCGCAUCCUGGGGGUGGAGAAGCUCCCAAGGGUUGGGCUGUUCGCCCAUUAAAGCGGCACGCGAGCUGGGUUCAGACCGUUUAGCGGCUAAUUAAUUUAUUGGCCCUUAAACGCUCUGAAUCCACGAGGUAAAACGACAUAAAUUACGGCGGCAAUAUUGAGUAAUCAAUAUUUGGCAAAAAAGCUGACUCAUAUCGGUGAAGUCCUAGCAAAA
rnacentral:rRNA from 1 species